rnacentral:rRNA from 2 species
AAGCAUAGUAGUAUCCUGAGUAGCGCGGAGCACGAGGAAUUCUGCGUGAAUCUGCCGGGACCAUCCGGUAAGGCUAAAUACUCCCGAGAGACCGAUAGCGAACCAGUACCGUGAGGGAAAGGUGAAAAGCACUUCGAACAGAAGAGUGAAAUAGUUCCUGAAACCGUGCGCCUACAAGCGGUCGGAGCUCGUUAAUGAGUGACGGCGUGCCUUUUGCAUAAUGAACCUACGAGUUGCCUUUGCCGGCAAGGUUAAGUGUGACGACACACGUAUCCGAAGCGAAAGCGAGUCUGAACAGGGCGUAUAGUCGGCAGUGGCAGACGCGAAACCAAGUGAUCUACCCUUGGCCAGGUUGAAGGCUGGGUAACACCAGCUGGAGGACCGCACCAAUAAGCGUUGAAAAGCUUCUGGAUGAGCUGAGGGUAGGGGUGAAAGGCUAAUCAAACUUGGAGAUAGCUCGUACUCCCCGAAAUGCAUUUAGGUGCAGCCUUGCGGGUUACUGAUGUGAGGUAGAGCGACUGAUAAGAUGCGAGGGCUUCACCGCCUAUCAAGUCUUGACAAACUCCGAAUGCGCAUCAGUUCUACCGCAGGAGUGAGGGCAUGGGUGCUAAGGUCCGUGCCCGAGAGGAGAAGAAUCCGGACCACCUGCUAAGGUCCCGAAAUGACAGCUAAGUUAAACUAACGAAGUCUGACUGCUAAGACAGCUAGGAUGUUGGCUUGGAAGCAGCCAUUCAUUUAAAGAGUGCGUAACAGCUCACUAGUCGAGGAGUCGGGCGUGGAUAAUAAUCGGGUAUUAAGUUGUCUACCGAAGCAGUGGGAUCAUUGAUAUGAUCGGUAGGGGAGCAUUCCAGUCGGCGUCGAAGGCGUACCGUGAGGUAUUCUGGAGCGUCUGGAAAAGCAAAUGUAGGUAUAAGUAACGAUAAAGGGGGCGGGAAACCCCCUCGCCGAAAGACUAAGGUUUCCUGAUCAACGCUAAUCGGAUCAGGGUCAGUCGGGUCCUAAGGCUCAGCCGAACGGCGAUGCCGAUGGCAGAAACGGUUAAUAUUCCGUUACUACCUUCAGGAGUGACGUGGAGACGCAGUAGUGACAGUGCCGCCAUCUGACGGAAUAGAUGGUUGAAGGGUGUAGGAGUCGAUCAUGGCAGGCAAAUCCACCAUGAGAUCCGAACCUGAUAGUAUGCCGCGUCCUUCGGGACAAGGCAAUAGUGCGCGUAAGCAUGCUGCCGAGAAAAUCCGCUAAACUUAAUCCUGCAGGUACCCGUACCGCAAACGGACACACGUAGUCGGGAUGAAUAUUCUAAGGCGCUUGAGUGAUUCACGGUUAAGGAACUAGGCAAACUGACCCUGUAACUUCGGGAUAAAGGGUCCCUACCCUUUUAUGGGAGGGCGCAGAGAAUCGGUCCAGGCAACUGUUUAACAAAAACACAGGGCUGUGCCAAAUCGAAAGAUCCAGUAUACAGCCUGACACCUGCCCGGUGCUGGAAGGUUAAGAGGAGAUGUCAUCGAUAAGAGAAGCGUUGAAUUGAAGCCCCAGUAAACGGCGGCCGUAACUAUAACGGUCCUAAGGUAGCGAAAUUCCUUGUCGGGUAAGUUCCGACCUGCACGAAUGGUGUAAUGAUCUGGACGCUGUCUCAACCGUGAGCUCAGUGAAAUUGUAGUAUCGGUGAAGAUGCCGAUUACCCGCGAUGGGACGAAAAGACCCCGUGAACCUUUACUAUAGCUUAUCAUUGAAUCUGGGCACGUGAUGUGUAGGAUAGGUCGGAGGCUUUGAAGCAGGUACGCCAGUAUUUGUGGAGCCGCUGUUGAAAUACGACCCUUUAUUUGUUUGGAUUCUAACCCGUGGAACGGGGACAUUGAUUGGUGGGUAGUUUGACUGGGGUGGUCGCCUCCAAAAGCGUAACGGAGGCUUCUAAAGGUGCCCUCCGGCCGAUUGGUAACCGGCCUUAGAGUGUAAUGGCAUAAGGGCGCUUGACUGGGAGACUAACAAGUCGAUCAGGUAGGAAACUAGAGCAUAGUGAUCCGGUGUUUCCGUAUGGAAGGGACAUCGCUCAAAGGAUAAAAGGUACUCCGGGGAUAACAGGCUGAUCCCUCCCAAGAGCUCAUAUCGACGGAGUGGUUUGGCACCUCGAUGUCGGCUCGUCACAUCCUGGGGCUGGAGAAGGUCCCAAGGGUUGGGCUGUUCGCCCAUUAAAGUGGCACGCGAGCUGGGUUCAGAACGUCGUGAGACAGUUCGGUCUCUAUCUAUCGUGGGCGUAUGAAAUUUGCGUGGCUCUGACACUAGUACGAGAGGACCGUGUUGGACAGACCUCUGGUUUGCCGGUUGUGCCGCCAGGUGCAUUGCCGGGUAUCUAAGUCUGGAUCGGAUAAGUGCUGAAAGCAUCUAAGUACGAAGCCGGCCACAAGAUUAGAUUUCUCAGGGUCGUUGUAGACUACGACGUUGAUAGGAUGCAGGUGUAAAGGUAGAGAUACCAAAGCCGAGCAUUACUAAUUGCCCGUCCACUUUCCUUA